rnacentral:rRNA from 11 species
GACCUCAAAUUAGGCAAGAUGACCCGCUGAAUUUAAGCAUAUAACUAAGCGGAGGAAAAGAAACUAACCAGGAUUCCCUCAGUAACGGCGAGUGAAGCGGGAAAAGCUCAACAUGAAAACCUGGGAGCCUCGCUCUCCGGAUUGUAUUCUCUAGAGGCGUGUUCAGUGGCCGCUCGCGUAUAAAUCCUUUGGAAAAGGGUGUCAUAGAGGGUGAGAUCCCCGUAUGUGACGCGAUGUGGGCUGCGUUACGACGCGUUUUCGGCGAGUCGGGUUGCUUGAGAUCGCAGCCCUAAUUGGGUGGUAAACUCCAUCUAAAGCUAAAUACUGACAAGAGACCGAUAGCAAACAAGUACUGUGAAGGAAAGAUGCAAAGAACUUUGAAAAGAGAGUUAAAAGUACCUGAAACCGCUAAGGGGGAAGCAAAGGCCGCCAGUACGCGCCAGGAAGUCUCCAGCGUCGGCUCUGCCGGCGUGUAUCGAGUUCCGAGCGGGUUCACGUGGGCGUGGCGCGCGGGAUGGGCGGGGGGUGCUGACCAAGCCCCCCUGGCUACCGUGUGCCGUGCCGAGGCCUUUCCCCGCAAGGGUGAGGACGUGGACGAAAUGGCGAUCUCUGACCCGUCUUGUAACACGGACCAAGGAGUCUAACAUAUGUGCGAGUACAGGGGUGUCAAACCCCGGUGCGUAAUGAAAGUGACAGUGGUUGGAUUUUUUUGCACAAUCCGCCGGCCUCAAUCCUUCGGGAGAACGGUCUGAGUGUGAGCAUACAUGUUGGGACCCGAAAGAUGGUGAACUAUGCCUGAGUAGGGUGAAGCCAGAGGAAACUCUGGUGGAGGCUCGUAGCGAUGCUGACGUGCAAAUCGCUCGUCGAACUUGGGUAUAGGGGCGAAAGACUAAUCGAACCAUCUAGUAGCUGGUUCCCUCCGAAGUUUCCCUCAGGAUAGCUGGAGCUCGUACAGUUUUAUCGGGUAAAGCGAAUGAUUAGAGGUCUGGGGGCUGAAACAGCCUUCACCUAUUCUCAAACUUUAAAUAGGUAAGCUGCGGUUGUCGCUU